rnacentral:rRNA from 1 species
UACGAAGGGGGCUAGCGUUGUUCGGAAUUACUGGGCGUAAAGCGCACGUAGGCGGACUAUUAAGUCAGGGGUGAAAUCCCGGGGCUCAACCCCGGAACUGCCUUUGAUACUGGUAGUCUCGAGUCCGGAAGAGGUGAGUGGAAUUCCCAGUGUAGAGGUGAAAUUCGUAGAUAUUGGGAAGAACACCAGUGGCGAAGGCGGCUCACUGGCCCGUAACUGACGCUGAGGUGCGAAAGCGUGGGGAGCAAACAGG